rnacentral:rRNA from 1 species
UGGGGAAUUUUGGACAAUGGGCGAAAGCCUGAUCCAGCAAUGCCGCGUGUGUGAAGAAGGCCUUCGGGUUGUAAAGCACUUUUGUCCGGAAAGAAAUCCUUGGCUCUAAUACAGUCGGGGGAUGACGGUACCGGAAGAAUAAGCACCGGCUAACUACGUGCCAGCAGCCGCGGUAAUACGUAGGGUGCAAGCGUUAAUCGGAAUUACUGGGCGUAAAGCGUGCGCAGGCGGUUUGCUAAGACCGAUGUGAAAUCCCCGGGCUCAACCUGGGAACUGCAUUGGUGACUGGCAGGCUAGAGUAUGGCAGAGGGGGGUAGAAUUCCACGUGUAGCAGUGAAAUGCGUAGAGAUGUGGAGGAAUACCGAUGGCGAAGGCAGCCCCCUGGGCCAAUACUGACGCUCAUGCACGAAAGCGUGGGGAGCAAAACAGGAUUAGAUACCCCUGGUAGUCCACGCCCUAAACGAUGUCAACUAGUUGUUGGGGACUUCAUUUUCCUUAGUAACGUAGCUAACGCGUGAAGUUGACCGCCUGGGGAGUACGGUCGCAAGAUUAAAACUCAAAGGAAUUGAC